rnacentral:rRNA from 1 species
AGCUCCAAUAGCGUAUAUUAAAGUUGUUGCAGUUAAAAAGCUCGUAGUUGGAUUUCGGAGUGGGCCAGUUGGUCCGCCGCAAGGUGUGUUACUGACUGGUUUGCUCUUCUUCGCAAAGACUGCGUGUGCUCUUCAGUGAGUGUGCGUAGGAUUUACGACGUUUACUUUGAAAAAAUUAGAGGGUUCAAAGCAGGCUAUUGCUUGAAUACAUGAGCAUGGAAUAAUGGAAUAGGACUUUGGUGCCAAUUUGUUGGGUUCGAGGGCCGAAGUAAUGAUUAAGAGGGACAAUUGGGGGCAUCCGUAUUUCGUUGUCAGAGGUGAAAUUCUUGGAUUUACGAAAGACGAACAACUGCGAAAGCACUUGCCAAGAGUGUUUUCA